rnacentral:rRNA from 1 species
AUUGAACGCUGGCGGAAUGCUUUACACAUGCAAGUCGAACGGCAGCACGGGGGCAACCCUGGUGGCGAGUGGCGAACGGGUGAGUAAUAUAUCGGAACGUGCCCAGCCGUGGGGGAUAACGUAGCGAAAGUUACGCUAAUACCGCAUACGAUCUACGGAUGAAAGCGGGGGAUCGCAAGACCUCGCGCGAUUGGAGCGGCCGAUAUCAGAUUAGGUAGUUGGUGGGGUAGAGGCUCACCAAGCCAACGAUCUGUAGCUGGUCUGAGGGGACGACCAGCCACACUGGGACUGAGACACGGGCCAGACUCCUCCGGGAGGCAGCAGUGGGGAAUUUUGGACAAUGGGCGCAAGCCUGAUCCAGCCAUUCCGCGUGCAGGACGAAGGCCUUCGGGUUGUAAACUGCUUUUGUACGGAACGAAAAAGCCUUGGCUAAUACCCAGGGUCCAUGACGGUACCGUAAGAAUAAGCACCGGCUAACUACGUGCCAGCCGCCGCAGUAA